rfam:Oceanococcus atlanticus strain 22II-S10r2 contig1, whole genome shotgun sequence.
CCGGACAAAUCCACUGCGUCUCGGGGCCAUCGCCCACGGACGGGCGAUGGAGGUUUGCCACGACACGAUGUCGUGUCAAACCGACCCGACAAAAGCGGGGGAUUUUUCCGG